UACAGAGGGUGCGAGCGUUAAUCGGAAUUACUGGGCGUAAAGCGUGCGUAGACGGUAGCGUAAGUCGGGUGUGAAAGCCCCGGGCUCAACCUGGGAAUUGCAUUCGAGACUGCUCUGCUAGGGUGCGGAAGAGGGAAGCGGAAUUUCCGGUGUAGCGGUGAAAUGCGUAGAUAUCAUUUGGAACGCCAAUGGUGAAAACAGGUAGCUGGGGCUGUGCUGACGCUGAGACACGAAAGCCAGGGGAGCAAACGGG
rnacentral:rRNA from 1 species